rnacentral:rRNA from 1 species
AUUGAACGCUGGCGGCAGGCCUAACACAUGCAAGUCGAACGAGUGGCGGACGGGUGAGUAAUGUCUGGGAAACUGCCCGAUGGCGGGGGAUAACUACUGGAAACGGUAGCUAAUACCGCAUACCAUCGGAUGUGCCCAGAUGGGAUUAGCUAGUGGGUGGGGUAACGGCUCACCUAGGCGACGAUCCCUAGCUGGUUUGAGAGGAUGACCAGCCACACUGGAACUGAGACACGGUCCAGACUCCUACGGGAGGCAGCAGUGGGGAAUUUUGCACAAUGGGCGAAAGCCUGAUCCAGCCAUACCGCGUGUAUGAAGAAGGCCUUCGGGUUGUAAAGUACUUUCGGCAGGGAGGCGUUACUCGCAGAAGAAGCACCGGCUAACUCCGUGCCAGCAGCCGCGGUAAUUC